rnacentral:rRNA from 1 species
AAGAGCCGUCGGUUGUAAAGCACUUUUUGUCCGGAAAGAAAACUUCUGCCCUAAUACGGUGGGAGGAUGACGGUACCGGAAGAAUAAGCACCGGCUAACUACGUGC